rnacentral:rRNA from 1 species
AAUUUUGGACCAUGGGGGAAACCCUGAUCCAGCCAUCCCGCGUGUAUGAUGAAGGNCUNNGGGUUNUNAAGUACUUUUGGCAGNNNNNAAAAGGUACCUCCUAAUACGAGGUACUGCUGACGGUAUCUGCAGAAUAAGCACCGGCUACCUACGUGCCAGCCGCCGCGGUAAUACGUAGGGUGCAAGCGUUAAUCGGAAUUACUGGGCGUAAAGCGUGUGUAGGCGGUUCGGAAAGAAAGAUGUGAAAUCCCAGGGCUCAACCUGGGAAAUGCAUUUUUAACUGCCGAGCUAGAGUAUGUCAGAGGGGGGUAGAAUUCAACGUGUAGCAGUGAAAUGCGUAGAUAUGUGGAGGAAUACCGAUGGCGAAGGCAGCCCCCUGGGAUAAUACUGACGCUCAGACACGAAAGCGUGGGGAGCAAACAG